rnacentral:rRNA from 1 species
GUAGGGAAUAUUGGGCAAUGGAGGCAACUCUGACCCAGCCAUGCCGCGUGCAGGAUGACGGCCCUCUGGGUUGUAAACUGCUUUUAUACGGGAAGAAAAAAUACUACGUGUAGUAUACUGACGGUACCGUAAGAAUAAGGAUCGGCUAACUCCGUGCCAGCAGCCGCGGUAAUACGGAGGAUCCAAGCGUUGUCCGGAUUUAUUGGGUUUAAAGGGUGCGUAGGCGGAUCUUUAAGUCAGUGGUGAAAGCCUGCAGCUUAACUGUAGAAUUGCCAUUGAAACUGAAGAUCUUGAAUGUGGUUAAAGUAGGCGGAAUGUAUCAUGUAGCGGUGAAAUGCUUAGAUAUGAUACAGAACACCGAUAGCGAAGGCAUUGUACUGGCCGACAACUGACGCUGAUGCACGAAAGUGUGGGGAUCGAACAGGAUUAGAUACCCGAGUAGUCC